GCAAGAAAAACUGGUCGCAGCGGUCUAGUCUUGGGAGGACGUGAUUUCAGGCGCGGUUUCGCCGCAGCCCCGUUAAAACGGUAAAGAAAUCCAGACACGCAAUUUCUGAUGCAAGGCUUCUGGCCUUGCAUUUUUUU
rnacentral:sRNA from 1 species